rnacentral:rRNA from 1 species
UACGUAGGGACCAAGCGUUGUUCGGAUUUACUGGGCGUAAAGGGCGCGUAGGCGGCGUGUUAAGUCAGCUGUGAAAUCUCCGAGCUUAACUCGGAACGGUCAGCUGAUACUGAUGUGCUAGAGUGCAGAAGGGCAAUCGGAAUUCUUGGUGUAGCGGUGAAAUGCGUAGAUAUCAAGAGGAACACCUGAGGUGAAGACGGGUUGCUGGGCUGACCUGACGCUGAGGCGCGAAGGCGUGGGGGGGAGCGAACGGG